rnacentral:rRNA from 1 species
GGCGAACGGGGUGAGUUACACGUGGGCAACCUGCCCUCAGGCUCUGGUGGAUGAACUCCAAGUAAAUUGGUGCUAAUACCGGAAUGUGACCGCGUGACCGCAUGGUCUGGUGGUGGAAAGAUUCAUCGGCCUGGUGGAUGGGCCCGCGGCCUAUCUAGCUUGGUUGGUGGGGUCACGGCCCACCAGGGCGACGUACGGGUAGCCAGGCCUGUAGGUAGGGUGACCGGCCACAUCUGGGACUGAGACACGGCCCAGACUCCUACGGGAGUCAGCAUGUGGGGAAUAUUGCGCAAUGGCGAAAGCCCUGACGCAGCGACGCCGUCGUGAGGGAUUGACGCCUUCGGUUGUAAACCUCUUUCAGUAGGGACGAAGCGCAAGUGACGGUACCUACGGAAGAAGCACCGCCAACUAUCGUGCCA